UGAAUAUGCAUCAAUUUGAAUUGUUCCUUGAAUGGAUCCCUCCAGAAUGGUACCCUCGUGCGAUAUCGCACGAAAAAGUGUGCGAUGACAUCAGAUAGAGUUGUCGUCUUCUUCGCAUUUAUUCAUCAUGCGCAAUAUGUUCGAUAUCAAUAACAACCUUCAGUAUCCGGUUUGAAAUUUCCUUAGUCCGAUUCAAACCUGUCCCAUCACCAAUUCGUCAUUCUGUGUCCAACUACCAGUAACAACGAACUACAGGUGUCGUCUUGAAAAAUGUCCAGAUUAUCUGCUGUCCUGUUUCUAUCGGCAGUUUUAGUAAUUGCCGAUGCUUUUGGGAAAGUUGACCUAACACAACACCGUCGCAAUAUCGAAACGGGUGAAGAACCUCAAGUGGAACAUGUGUAUGGCCUGCUCAUGAGACUGGUCUGCAAUAAGGACGAGGGCCAACAGUGGAACAAUAAACUUAAGAUGUGCAUCGUCGUUCCAACGGCGCCAACCGAUGGCACACCAUCGGUUCCGUCGGCACCAACAAUGUUUUCUACCGUUACGGUUGGAUUGUGAUUGUUUUAGAGAUGUGUUUGCGAAUAAAGUGACGAAAAUUGUUUGUAUUGUGAA